AUAGGGAUCCUACAUACUUUGUCCAUGUACAAAUGGUGAGUUAUCAGAAUCCAUGAACAUUAUAAAUAUAGCCUUUUGGUUACAUCUGUGGUUUCAUUUUUUGGGCUAUUUAGAGACUAGGCGUCAUAAGGUGGUUGUUUAUUUUAGCAUUGAUUCAAAUAUGUCUAUUACUAUGGUGUCUCGCCGGGUAUGAGCUCCAUGUCGGCGGCAUGCAGUUACAUGGGCCAUCUUGCUCGCUCUUCUCAGUUCCUAGCUUUUUCUUUACGCGGUUCGGUACUCAUCUAGAUUACUUUGAAAGCAUGAUAUUCUGAUCAUUUGGUUUUUUCACCAAAGAAAUCAUGUCAAAAUAUUUAUAAGUUGUUUUUCCUACAAUUUGGUAACGACUACUUAAUUAUCUUUCUCAAAAUUUCUUUGCAAUUGUUAUAAUCUAAUUCGUCCUAGGAAAAAAGCAAACAUGUAUAAAUUUUGCUUUGAUGCAGCCAGCAUUUUUAAAGUAGUGAUUCGUGUGCAAAAGACCACAUGAAUUAUAUGAAGGCGUAGUGCAUUCAGACCAUAUUUUUGGCUGUGACAUGUAAUACAGAUUCUAUGUAGCAGCACAUAGACUUAGCCUUAUUGUACAUGAAAGGAAGCGUCUCAAUCCCCUGUUGCCUGUGCUCUGCGCUAACGGGAGGUACUUUGCUCUACCAUUUUUUUAGGAAUACACUCUGGUGGUGAUGGAUUUGAAUAGCUCAUUGAGACCCUUAAGGUUUGGCUGGAUAUAAUAUGCAGAAUUAUUGUUAGUACCCUGUUAGAUGUUACUGUCUUCCUACUUCUAUUGCUGCCAGGAAUUCAGCGUGUAUGGCUCAUGCCCUUCUGUGCAGAGCAAAAGAAUUGGACCUUUUGGCUUUCUCGCCGCAUGCCUUGGUGAACUCAAGCCUGGAGGAUUAUUGUUCUACUUCGGGGCCUGACUGUAGUUUUCCUAACGCCGAUGUGAGUGGUCUAUUUCUUUUCUUAUAUCAUGCCAUACUUAUUAUCUUACAUGUGAAUCUACAAACUUGGUAUAUGCAUACUAUUUUAAUUUGGACGGUUCUAUUGUUUAAUUUGGUUUAAAUCACCACAUAAUGGUUAAAACCUUUUCUUCUCCCACCUCAUCUUUCGCAGCUGCUUAAAUUCCCAAGAUCCCACAUUAAAAUUGGGGUUAAAAUAUUUCAUUUAUGGAUGCUUU